rnacentral:rRNA from 1 species
UCGUGUUGUGAAAUGUUGGGUUAAGUCCCGCAGCGAGCGCAACCCACAUCCCUAGUUGCCAGCAGUUCGGCUGGGCACUCUAAAGAAACUGCCCGUGAUAAGCGGGAGGAAGGUGUGGAUGACGUCAAGUCCUCAUGGCCCUUACGGGUUGGGCUACACACGUGCUACAAUGGCAGUGACAAUGGGUUAACCCCCAAAAACUGUCUCAGUUCGGAUUGUCGUCUGCAACUCGACGGCAUGAAGUCGGAAUCGCUAGUAAUCGCGUAACAGCAUGACGCGGUGAAUACGUUCCCGGGCCUU